rnacentral:rRNA from 1 species
AACGACUCUCGGCAACGGAUAUCUAGGCUCUCGCAUCGAUGAAGAACGCAGCGAAAUGCGAUACUUGGUGUGAAUUGCAGAAUCCCGUGAACCAUCGAGUCUUUGAACGCAAGUUGCGCCCGAGGCCUUUAGGCCGAGGGCACGUCUGCCUGGGCGUCACGC